rnacentral:piRNA from 1 species
UCAAAGUGCCAUUCGGGCUGUAAAACCCAGU